rnacentral:rRNA from 1 species
CAGCCGCCGCGGGAACACAGAGGGUGCGAGCGUUAAUCGGAUUUACUGGGCGUAAAGCGUGCGUAGGCGGCUUCUUAAGUCGGAUGUGAAAUCCCUGAGCUUAACUUAGGAAUUGCAUUCGAUACUGGGAAGCUAGAGUAUGGGAGAGGAUGGUAGAAUUCCAGGUGUAGCGGUGAAAUGCGUAGAGAUCUGGAGGAAUACCGAUGGCGAAGGCAGCCAUCUGGCCUAAUACUGACGCUGAGGUACGAAAGCAUGGGGAGCAAACAGGAUUAGAUACCCCAGUAGUCCCUGUCUCUUAUAA